CACGUAGGAGGCGAGCGUUAUUCGGAUUUACUGGGCGUAAAGCGCGUGUAGGCGGCUUAUUAAGUUGGAUGUGAAAGCUCCUGGCUUAACUGGGAGAGGACGUUCAAAACUAGUAAGCUUGAGUACGAGAGAGGAAAAUGGAAUUCCGGGUGUAGUGGUGAAAUGCGUAGAUAUCCGGAGGAACACCAGUGGCGAAGGCGAUUUUCUGGCUCGAGACUGACGCUCAGACG
rnacentral:rRNA from 1 species